GCCCCGGUAGCACAGCGGUAGUGCGGCCGGCUUGUAACCGGCAGGUCGUGGGUUCAAAUCCCACCCGGGGCU
rnacentral:tRNA from 1 species